rnacentral:tRNA from 1 species
GGAGAGAUGGCAGAGCGGUCGAAUGCGGCGGUCUUGAAAACCGUUGAAGGGCAACUUUCCGGGGGUUCGAAUCCCUCUCUCUCCGCCA